rnacentral:rRNA from 1 species
AAUUGACGAGCGAGUCUAAUGGAAAGGUUUUGGGAAAGCCUGCCAGAGAGGGUGAAAGCCCCGUACAUGAAAGACGAGUGAGCAUGGCAGUAUCCAGAGUACCACGAGACACGAGAAACCUUGUGGGAAUGAGCGGGGACCACCCCGUAAGGCUAAAUACUCCUUAGUGACCGAUAGCGCAUAGUACUGUGAAGGAAAGGUGAAAAGGACCCCGGGAGGGGAGUGAAAGAGAACCUGAAACCAUAUGUUUACAAGCUGUGGAAGAGCUUUACAUGCUCAACCGCGUACUUUUUGUAGAACGGUCCGGCGAGUUGCGCUGGCUGGCGAGGUUAAGGACUGAAGGUCCGGAGCCGAAGGGAAACCAAGUCUGAAUAGGGCGAAUAUAGUCAGUCGGAGCAGACCCGAAACCGGGUGAUCUACCCAUGUCCAGGUUGAAGUUGCCGUAAAAGGCAAUGGAGGACCGAACGCACAUCCGUUGAAAAGGGUGGCGAUGAGGUGUGGGUAGGGGAGAAAUUCCAAUCGAACCCGGAGAUAGCUGGUUCUCCUCGAAAUAGCUUUAGGGCUAGCCUCAUACGAGUCUUGCGGAGGUAGAGCACUGAAUUUCCUAGGGGGCGUCAAAGCUUACCGAAGAAUAUCAAACUCCGAAUGCCGCGUAGAUGAUGUAUGGGAGUCAGACUAUACGAGAUAAGUUGGAUAGUCGAAAGGGAAAGAGCCCAGACCACCGGCUAAGGUCCCAAAAUGUGUGUUAAGUGGAAAAGGAUGUGGGAUUUCGAAGACAACCAGGAUGUUGGCUUAGAAGCAGCCAUACAUUAAAAGAGUGCGUAAUAGCUCACUGGUCGAGAGGUCCUGCGCCGAAAAUGUCCGGGGCUGAAACACACUACCGAAGCCGUGGAAUCAUCG